UUCAAGCCAUCCUCCUGCCUAGGCGUCUUGAGUAGCUGGGACUACAGGCACACACUAUCACGCCCAAUAUUUUUGUCUUAAGUUUCUAAGGAGUCCCAACACUGCACAGUAGCUGUUCAAUACAUUUUGAGUGAAUGAUUAAAAACAAGCUUGGUGUUGAUUUUAUUGGUACAAUUUAUAUUUACAUAUGUAAUGUUUAUAUUAUAUGCUUUUUAUAUAUUUAUAUGUGUGUAUGUAUAUAAUUGGCACCAACGUAGCAUUGCUGUGCUUAAGUGCCUGAGAUGUAUCUCAAAUGAAUAGACCUGAGGAGAGAAGCUUGUGUCAUUAGCUCUGACCCUGCAGCACUAAUCCUGGUUUACCCCUUUAUUUCACUCACCCUGAGCACAUCAAUUAAUUUGGUGAAAGAGCUUACACUUUAAGUGUAAGCUUAACAUCUCACUGAAAUAGUUCAUUCCAAAGAAAGAGCUAAUUCUAACCUCUCACAAGUGCUUGAGCAUUUGCAUAAGUGAAAUUUCACUGUGUGAGUUUCACCCAACACCACCUCUGCUCCAGCUCCUGCUACUCUGCUGCUCAUACUGUGGAACUCCACAGGUGGAGUAGAAGAUCAUCAGAGAGAGUUUUAUUUGCAGUAAAUUUGGUGUGCAACAGGCCAAGCAACGAGGAGUCAAGGUGAGGCAGAAGAACAGCAGAGGGAAGUGGAAGUUGGAUAAAGGGUGAACUGAGUAGGAGCGGAAGCAGGAUAAAGAGGUGGGUGAGCAAGAAGCAAGAUAAGCAGAAGUUGAGCAGCGAAAACAAAAGUGAGAUGGAGUAGUGAGUAAAAGUUUAUGGCUGGCAGGAUCCAGAACAAACCAGUAAAAGGCAUGCAUAUGACAGAGAAAAAGUAGCCUUAAAAUGACCCCGUAUGAUAAUCAGCUCAUUAAAGCUAAUGCAUAUGGACUGCAUAUCAUGGGUGUACUUAAAAUUAUGGGAUGGAGGUGAUGCGGAAGCACACAGGGGCCAAGUAACUAAGCAACCCACCUAUCAAUCAGAAGGCACAUGCUGGGUAGAGAUUAGGCAGCCCCAGGAAGAGGAGAAAAAAGAAAAAAAAAAAAACAUGUAAAAAGACCCAAAGCCCAAAGUUCACCAAACUGACGCUGAUCUCAUUUUGCAGAAGUCAGCCCGUUCUCCCCUCUCUGAGAGUGUUACUGUGCUUAAUAAGUCUCUUGCUGCUUUGCUACAUGUGUGUGUGUCACUUCCAAUUCUUUGUUAAAGACACCAAGAACCUGGGACUUCACAACACCAGCCGGUAACAAAGAUCUCUGUAAGACACAAAAGUUGGAUGACAGUCGUUUUGAUUCUUGGACUUUACUAGAGACUCCAAAGACGCAUCUGAGGAGAAAAGCUCUGGGUCCCUGGGAUGACUGUGCCACUCGACAUAGCCUCCUGGAGUGGCCAAAGAGAGUGUGGAUAAGAAAAGAAAUAUUGGAGUGAACUUUCACUCACUCCCACUUCUGUAGGUUUCUUAAAAUAUAUGGGUUUAGAAGCAAGAUACUUGGCGUUUUCAAAUGACUCAAAAGAGAUGUAGAUGAAGAGAAGUUCGGUCAUCCCACAGAUCUUCCGGAGUAACCUGGACACAUCCCUAAAUCUCUAGCUCCUGGGUCUUCGAAAGCCUGUUUGCCUCAGGGUUGGGAGGAAAGGGUUUGGAAAGUACCAAGGCAAGGGUUGGCAAAAAGAUUACCUCAUCAGUGAGGAAAUGAAAUUUCCAGAAGUUUUCGCCAGAUCUGGGACCAGAGACAAAUGCUGGAUGAAUUUCCUAUGCAAACCUCUUUUAGAACCACCGCUUCAAAGGCCGUCCAGAGACUUCAAAUUAGAUCUGGUGAAACUGCUCCCGGUAGGGGAUUGGUAGUUCAGCGGUAGAGGUUUUUGUCUCCCACGCCGGCGACUCCGGUACGACUCCCGGCCAUGCAGGACUUCUUACCCUUCCGGCAGGAAGGGCUACUACGUUUCUACCCAACGAAGUUAUUAUAUUAUACAGGCUGUACUGCAUUUAUGGACCUUGGUCGUGGCAGCUAGAAGCUAACCUGAGGGGCGUGCCACCUCUGGAGCAUUCUCUGUGCUCGAACUAAUAAUCCCGGAAUUUACGUUCCUGUGCUCGAAGCCUGUCCUUGAAAGUGGGGAGUGUUUCCGGUGGGUUGCUGCAGUUUUAAAUACUGGGAAUUAAAACCUUUGCUACUUUCAUCUAGUCUCCCGGCAAACCCCUGGGUAACCCAAAGCCCAUCAGAGGGAUUCGCGUGCUGGGCUUUCCGCUACGUUAGGCCACGUCUCACUAUGGAGCGAGGAUCAAGAAGGUCCGGGAAGGAGAGAAGCUGCGGGGUCCAGGGAGACUCUUCGGCGGUUGGUCGGAGAGGUUUCAGCGGCCCAAGGAAAAGGGAAGCGUGUGGGAAUCUAUCCGCGUAGAGAUGAGGGGCGCGGCGGAGACAGUCCCACGCAGAGGUAUGCCCAAACACCGAGUUACUUAACCUCCUCAACCACCUUGGCAUCCGCGCCUUCCGUGGGCCCGUCGGUCUUCCGGGAGAGAUUCUGUGUCCCUGGUAUUGUGUGUCAACAGGUGUUAGCCUGAUAGUUAUAUUUUUAAUGAGAGAAAACGAACUACAGAAUUUGCGAGUUUUGCUUUUUUUCUGGUUUUGCUUUAUACCUCUUGGAUUCUCCUUCCAAAGGAUUCCAAUCUGAGGGGCAUUGAGGUGUGACUAUGGUAGACAAGGGGUGGUGAAUUUUCAUCCAAAAAUCUUUGGCGGAUUCCCUUGCUCUCCCGCUCCCCAGUCUAAGAGCAGUUUAAAACAGAAGAUCAGAAACAUUUGGAGAGUGUUUUUUUCUCUGCGUUCUAAUGAUAAACUUGAUUUAUUCAAUUCCAAAAGUUUCCUUAUUCUGAGGUUGUCUUUCCAUAUUUUGAGUAUAAAACCAUGGCCAUACUAUAUGUUGGACCCACGAAGGUUCUUCUCUUCACUUGUUUAUUUGUAAAGUCUCUUUGUAAUCUGAGAAUUUCUUGAGUAAACUGGGAACUGUUACACAUAA
rnacentral:lncRNA from 1 species